GAGGGUACUAAACGAUAUUUGAGGGCAUGGGUGGAAGUGUAAUAGGUGUUUUUUUAGAGGUGUAAUAGAGACGGAGGAGGCAGGUCCAUCGUGCCACGGUUAGGUUUAGAGAAGAGAGGCGCUGGUGUUGCGGCGGCGGUGGAGACUAAGACCGAUCGAGGCCGUGAACGACGCGGCGGUGAGUGGCCUUGCCGAUGGGAGUGACGGGAGGAGGCUAGGGGGCGGUACCACUGCAGGAAGUACGCCGGUACGGGGAUGUAUGCUGGGGGCCGUUGGGAUCAACGGUGUCGAGCGUUCGUGGGCGCGGAGGAGACCAAACAGCCGGAUGACGGUGUGGGUGCAGACGUGUACGCGGCGAGGGCCCGGCCGGAACCACCCGACGAGGCCGAGUCGUUAGACUUGAGGUUGCGGUCCCGCCUAAGAAACGGACGGUAGCACUGCUACUAGCUGCGAUGGAACUAGCGAGUAGAACUAGGUGGCGGCAGUCACGACCGAACGUGGCCGUAGUUACAGUGAUGUGAAGACUUUAGUCUCCUACGGAUCGUACUGCCAUUACUAGACCCGUCCCACAACAAUUCGCCUCUCCGCCUUCUGAAGUUCACCAUCAUAGCCUUGUAGUCUAGUGACCACCCCACAACAGACGACCUUUGUUAAGCGGAUCUCCCCUUUCCUACCAGCAACAUGACAUCCACUCUGCUAGCUCCCGCUCCGUGUGCACUCAACCCUCCUUUGUCAACGUCGAUCCAAUUUCCUUCCCGACUCAUGCUAGUUAGGUCACACCAAUAUCCACAGCCCGACAGCCGGAGUUCGAACAACAGUUUCUGCACGAGAACGUCUCUUGUUCUCAUUACGAAAAUUAAUAGUGGUUGCGUAGUUACGUUACGUUCCUAUGGUCUUACACCCAACGAAAUCUAAACGGAACUCCUUGACCGCUGUUUUAUGUGACUUUGGUCCAAACAAUUUUAAUAGAGGUGCUUGAUAUAAGGGUUGAUGGGUAUAUCCUACAACGGUUUCCCUAAAGACAACCAGACAUCUUCGAGACACCUUGUUUUACGUGUGGACAUUCAAUAUACUGUGUUGGUCAAAGGUAAUAGAAUCAAGUUCCAAAGAAAAACACUCCAAUCAAGUUCAAUGAGAAGAAAUAAAUCAACCGACCUGUUUUUUUCGUCACACACCGAUAGAAUUUCAACGUUAAUGGGUUAGCAUCAUGUGUUAUAUGUUAAAAACACAUAUGAUAUUAGAUCUACGGAAUUGUACUGAUUAUAAACUAGAAUCCUACUCUGAAGAGAAAAACAUGAUUCUCUCUUGGUACAAGUAAUACUGUACGUACAGAUAUACAAUCUAUAUACCAGGAUUACAUACAAACCGAAUGCUGUAUACCGUUUUAUUUUCUUUUUCUAACUCCACUGUUUAAAAUUCUCACGGAUUGUCUCACCGUAAGAUCCUAUUCCUUGUUGUUCCUAAACAGUACUAUUAAAUACUAUGUGACUUGACUACACUCGGAAGGAAGCUAUUUAAUAGUUAGGGUCUUAUAAAUUCACAAUGUACACCGAAGGUAGAGUACGGCUUAAAUUCAACUAUGUUUCGACCUCCUACCCCGAUGAUGUUCUAUCAAAAUGUAAAUGUAAUAUCUUACAGUAAAAGUACCAAUAUAUCCUCUAGUACAUUACAGAAGAAGUAAGGUACAUUACGUUGGACUCAACUAAUUUAUAUACUUUAUAAAGACGAAUCACCUAACGACGAGGAACGUGAUAACAAGCAUUAUAUGUUUUAUGGUUAUUAACAAGUACGGAUGUCUAAGUACCUUCGUAACGUGAUUAAACAUUACACUUUUAAUCAAACACAUCCCAUUAGUUGUUGCAUAUGCUUCACAACAAGACGACAUCUAUAUAUACAACGCUUGAACGUUGCGAAGAUGUACGGUUAAUGGUUACGUUAAUAUACACAACAACAUCUGGGAAGGUUUCGGUGGUUGCCGUUGCCUAUGAUUAGGCAACCACAUCUGAUAUCGUUACGUAUAUACCUGAAAUCCGUUGUGUUGUAACGC
rnacentral:rRNA from 1 species